CACGUAGUUAGCCGGUGCUUAUUCUUUAGGUACCGUCAGCAGAUAAUGGUAUUAACACUAUCCUUUUCUUCCCUAACAAAAGUCCUUUACAACCCGAAGGCCUUCUUCAGACACGCGGCAUGGCUGGAUCAGGCCUGCGCCCAUUGUCCAAAAUUCCCCACUGCUGCCUCCCGUAGGAGUCUGGGCCGUGUCUCAGUCCCAGUGUGGCGGAUCAUCCUCUCAGACCCGCUACUGAUCGUCGCCUUGGUAGGCCUUUACCCCACCAACUAGCUAAUCAGACAUCGGCCGCUCGAAUAACGUGAGGUCCGAAGAGCCCCCACUUUCCUUCUCAAAGCGUAUGCGGUAUUAGCUAUCCUUUCGGAUAGUUAUCCCCCAUUACUCGGUACGUUCCGAUGCAUUACUCACCCGUUCGCCACUCGCCACCAAAGAGCAAGCUCUUUCGUGCUGCCGUUCGACUUGCAUGUGUAAAGCAUGCCGCCAGCGUUCAAUCUGAGCCAGGAUCAAA
rnacentral:rRNA from 1 species